GAGGGUAUAGCCCAGUGGUAGUGCAUGUGCUUGGCGUGCAUGAGGUCCUGGGUUCAAUCCCCAGUUCCUCUG
rnacentral:tRNA from 1 species